rnacentral:rRNA from 1 species
GAGUUUGAUCGUGGCUCAGAACGAACGCUGGCGGCGUGGAUAAGACAUGCAAGUCGAACGGGAGAAUUGCUAGCUUGCUAAUAAUUCUCUAGUGGCGCACGGGUGAGUAACACGUGAGUAACCUGCCCCCGAGAGCGGGAUAGCCCUGGGAAACUGGGAUUAAUACCGCAUAGUAUCGAAAGAUUAAAGCAGCAAUGCGCUUGGGGAUGGGCUCGCGGCCUAUUAGUUAGUUGGUGAGGUAACGGCUCACCAAGGCGAUGACGGGUAGCCGGUCUGAGAGGAUGUCCGGCCACACUGGAACUGAGACACGGUCCAGACACCUACGGGUGGCAGCAGUCGAGAAUCAUUCACAAUGGGGGAAACCCUGAUGGUGCGACGCCGCGUGGGGGAAUGAAGGUCUUCGGAUUGUAAACCCCUGUCAUGUGGGAGCAAAAUUAAAAAGAUAGUACCACAAGAGGAAGAGACGGCUAACUCUGUGCCAGCAGCCGCCGCCGUAAC